GGGAAAUUCCUCCAGGGCUGAGUCACAGGGAAGAAAGCGAUUUCCUCCGCCUCUUCCAAAGCGGAUUUUAUAACCUGACAGCGUGCUGGAACUUCUCUGCUGGACUCCUGGACUCCCACAAUGAUCCAAUCCUGCUAGGAAGAACCUCACCCUACUUAGCUGCUGCUGGGUAUCAAAUAGAUGCUGCUCAAAAGGUGGCUAAAGAGCCUAAGUGGAGAUCUGCUUGUAUUCUUCAUUGAUGAAGUCUAAAUAUGAAGCUAGAACUGAAGACAUUCCAUCAGAUUGACUGUUACAGGGUAGGGAGCUGCAGCACAAGCACAGAGAAGCCAGCAGCUUCAUCACAUCACACCAGCUCUGCAGCGCCAAGGCAGACACACCAGCUCUGCGGCACCGAGGCAGACACACCAGCUCUGCGGUGCCGAGGCAGAGCCUGCGCCCUCUGAUGCUCUGUGUCGUGUUUUUUCCCACUUCGCCAUGCUGCAUUUUCCUUAGGGCUCUGACAUCUCCUUCUGACACUGAUUUUUUUUUUUUGACACUGAAUUUUUAAAUAAUUAUUUUUCAAGGUGCAACAUUUUGACGUCAAAAUUCAGCUAGUGAGAUUUCCAAAGUCCCUUUCUUCUAAUUUCUUAUUUCCAAGUAUUUUUUUUAAUUGCAGCUUAAUUUAUGAUAAGAAGCAGCUGCAUUUCUUGACCCCAAAGUACUAGAGUGAAUUAAUAAUUUAACGUGGUGCAACCACUGAUUCAAGUGCUUUUAAUGUCUCAUUUAAUCCUAAAGCCUGUGCUGGCCUCUGAGAUGUAGUUACUGCUGUUAUUCUCAUUAAAAAGAUGAAAGAACUAAGGUAUGAGGUGCUCAAGUAACUUUCCAAAGGUGACUCAGCUAGGAGUGGAGGAGCUCCUGGGAGUGGAGGAGCUCCUCAAAAGUGAGGAGUUCCUUUUUGGAUACAGGUGGCUUGGCCCCAGACUUACACUCUUAGAUGUUGUUCUCGACCUUUGGACCCAGACUAGCUCACUGGGACAUUAGACUAUACAGUAAAGGGAGAAGGGAAUCCUACCUGACUGCUUCAUUGUCAGCAGGAUGAAUAGGAAGGAGGCGACUGCACCAGACAGAUUGUAGCCUGGAAAAUCCACCAUCCUCCCUGGAACAAAGACAAGGAAACGCUGUGCCUAAGUGAGGCUGUGACACACCCGGCACACUCCAUGGCUUCCAUUGGUUAUGCAGUCUUAGCAGAGAAUCCACAUCAACCCCUGCACAGUCAGUGAAAUGGGCUUGGCUCCAUUUCUCUGCAAUUACUGAUCACAUCCAACCCUUUACCUAACGUGUUAUAUUGUGAGACAAUGUAGCAAAUGUAAGAAGCCUUGCUUGCUCAUUUCGGCUUGCUAGCAUACUUUCACAAAGCCCCUGCUGUGAUGACCUGCAGUUCUCCAGAAAGAUGCUUCAAAGACAAAACAAGAUUGAGCACACGGCCUCCCAUCUCUCUUGCCUGAGUCACUCUACUCCUUAAAAGAUAAGCAAUAAUAGUCCUUGCCUUUUCCUACACAUAAGAUAACGUCUGAUUGAAGGAUACCUCUGUAACCUAUAACCAGAUCUGCUCAUACACCCAAACGUUGAUGUAGUUCGGCUUCAAUGUAGCUUCUGAGCUAAUUUGAUGUAGUGGUUAAUAUGUAACCUCCUGACAUCGAAA
ensembl:lncRNA TSBP1-AS1 TSBP1 and BTNL2 antisense RNA 1